GGAGACCUCAGUCUGAUCACUCAUCAACCCUGUGAACAUACCUAAAACGUUGCUUCGGCGGGAACAGACGGCCCCGUGAAACGGGCCGCCCCCGCCAGAGGACCCCCUAACUCUGUUGCUAUGUGUUUUUUCUGAGUAAACAAGCAAAUAAAUUAAAACUUUCAACAACGGAUCUCUUGGCUCUGGCAUCGAUGAAGAACGCAGCGAAAUGCGAUAAGUAAUGUGAAUUGCAGAAUUCAGUGAAUCAUCGAAUCUUUGAACGCACAUUGCGCCCGCCAGUAUUCUGGCGGGCAUGCCUGUUCGAGCGUCAUUACAACCCUCAGGCCCCCGGGCCUGGCGUUGGGGAUCGGCGAGGCGCCCCCUGCGGGCACGCGCCGUCCCCCAAAUACAGUGGCGGUCCCGCCGCAGCUUCCAUUGCGUAGUAGCUAACACCUCGCAACUGGAGAGCGGCGCGGCCAUGCCGUAAAACACCCAACUUCUGAAUGUUGACCUCGAAUCAGGUAGGAAUACCCGCUGAACUUAAGCAUAUCAAUAAGCCGGAGGAA
rnacentral:rRNA from 1 species